rnacentral:rRNA from 1 species
UACGUAGGGGGCAAGCGUUGUCCGGAAUCAUUGGGCGUAAAGAGCGUGUAGGCGGCCCGAUAAGUCCGCUGUGAAAGUCCAGGGCUCAACCCUGGAAUGCCGGUGGAUACUGUCGGGCUCGAAUCCGGAAGAGGUGAGUGGAAUUCCUGGUGUAGCGGUGAAAUGCGUAGAUAUCAAGAGGAACACCUGCGGCGAAGGCGGGUUGCUGGGCUGACACUGACGCUGAGGCGCGAAAGCUAGGGGAGCGAACGGG